UGUCAUGGAUGAUCGAAUGGGACAAGGUCAGUGAGGUCAGGAGCAGGUACCAUCCCCAGUGUGGCUGGAUCUCCAUUCACGGUGAGCUGUCUCAUACAGUGAGUAUGACAUUUUCAUGUAGGAGUAGCAUCCUUGUGUUUUUCUUAAUAUGUAUUUCAUUUUAUAAGAGAGAAAAGGGGAGUUUUCAGAGCUAAAAGCUGAUUCUGCCUCCUGACAAUGCCCAUUUGCCUCUUUUGCUAAAGAAACUUGUAAGGAAAGGCAUCUCUGGGGGGUGGGAGGGGCAGAUUCAGCAGGGUGGAGCCACAGAAGUGAAACAUCUGGGCUUAGGAGGGCAUGAAGAAGAAACGAAAGUCAUGACACAUGUAUUUAGAAGCUGCAAAGACACAUUUUCCAUCCAAAGUUCCAGCAAUACUGGGUGACACCAAAGAUACUGACUUGAAUUCUCAAGAAAAAUUCUUUGCACAUGUGCACACAUACACACACACCAGCCCUGGCCACAACGGUGUGGCUCAUUGCCCACUUGGACGGCAUUUGGCUUAACUUCAGCUUAAUAUCGGGCUUUGGCUUUCUGACUUCAUUGUUUUUAAAUACUGAAGUUUUGAAACAAUAGAUAAGGUUUCAUUUUUGCACACCCAAUUGUGAGCCACUGAAAUGUCACCCAUUUCUUGAGAAUGUAAUAGUAGUAUAUUCCUAUAAUAUCACAGAGAAUGGAAAACUGAAGCAGGAGGAUCUCCAGCAAUAUACAGUGAGUUCAAGGCCAGCCUGGGCUCUACAACAAGAUCUUCCCUUAAUAAAAUCAUACAGAAAUUUCUUAACCUUAUCUAAAUAAUUUCUUUGCAAGGGCAGGGGCGCAGAGACAGGGCUUCUCUACAGAGUCCUCUACAUAGCCCUGGCUGUAUUGAAAGUCACUGUGUAGACCAAGCUGGCCUCAAACUCUCAGAGAUGAGCUUGCCCAUGCCUCCUGUGUUAUUUUACAUGACUUUUUAUUUUAACCAUAUAAACAAUUUAUGUGACCAAACAGAAGUCUUUACUCUUCCAAACUCAAUAUUUAGGGUAAGUAAUGUUUCCUCAAGGAAAAGAUAGGAUAGGAAUGGAAAUAAUUAACAUUUGUACAAGCCAGCAGCCAGUGCUCUUAGCCACGGAACCAUCUCUCCGGCCCUCGGUUUUAACUUUCAAGUAAGAGUAUUUUCAUGCUCCGUUUUCAUUUUGGAGACAAACGGCAUUGGUGCUGCGCUCUCUGUCGCCAUGAACUUUGCUAGUAUUUGCUGGUACAAACUCUGGGCUCCAGAGGUAGGCUGUGCUAAUUGUGCAGUCUUUGCCGAAGGAAAAAAAAAACAAAACCAAAAACAAAACCAGCAGCUGGGCAUGGUAGCACACACCUUUAAUCCCAGUGCUUGGGAAGCAGAGGCAGGCAGAUCUCUGAGUCUGAGGCCAGCUUGGUCUACAUAGUGAGUUUCAGGAUAGCCUGGGCUACGUAGAGCAGUAGAUCAACUUCAGUAAGUCAUGACCCGCUUUGAGGGACACUCACUCUCACAGGGGUUGCCUAAGAUACCAGAAAAUAGGUAUUUACAUUACUAUUUAUAACAGUAGAAAAAUUACAGCUAUGGAGUAGCAAUGAGAAUUAUUUUAUGGCUGGGGGUCACCACAAGGUGAGGAGCUGUAUCAAAGUAAAGAGUCUCAGGAGUAGGAAGGUUGAGAACCACUGAUGUAGAGAGACCCAAGUGUAUCUC
rnacentral:lncRNA from 1 species